rnacentral:rRNA from 1 species
GAUGAACGCUAGCGAUAGGCUUAACACAUGCAAGUCGAGGGGUAACGUGUUGGAAGCUUGCUUCCGAUGACGACGACCGGCGGAUGGGUGCGUAACGCGUAUGCAACUUGCCUCACAGUGGAGAAUAACCCGGAGAAAUCCGGACUAAUACUCCAUACACUCUUAAGUACGCCUGUACAUGAGAGGAAAGAUUUAUCGCUGUGAGAUAGGCAUGCGUCCUAUUAGGUAGUUGGUGAGGUAACGGCUCACCAAGCCGACGAUAGGUAGGGGUGCUGAGAGGCAGAUCCCCCACAUUGGGACUGAGACACGGCCCAAACUCCUACGGGAGGCAGCAGUGAGGAAUAUUGGUCAAUGGAGGAAACUCUGAACCAGCCAAGUCGCGUGAAGGAGGAAUGUCCUAAGGAUUGUAAACUUCUUUAGCGAGCGAGUAAGGACUUCCACGUGAUGGGAGUUUGAAAGUAGCUCGAGAAUAAGUAUCGGCUAACUCCGU